AUUGAACGCUGGCGGCAGGCCUAACACAUGCAAGUCGAACGAGUGGCGGACGGGUGAGUAAUGUCUGGGCAACUGCCUGAUGGAGGGGGAUAACUACUGGAAACGGUAGCUAAUACCGCAUACUAUCGGAUGUGCCCAUAUGGGAUUAGCUAGUAGGCGGGGUAAAGGCUCACCUAGGCGACGAUCCCUAGCUGGUCUGAGAGGAUGACCAGCCACACUGGGACUGAGACACGGUCCAGACUCCUACGGGAGGCAGCAGUGGGGAAUAUUGCACAAUGGACGCAAGCCUGAUGCAUCCAUGCCGCGUGUAUGAAGAAGGCCUUAGGGUUGUAAAGUACUUUCGGCGGGGAGGCGUUACCCGCAGAAGAAGCACCGGCUAACUCCGUGCCAGCAGCCGCGGUAAUUC
rnacentral:rRNA from 1 species